rnacentral:rRNA from 1 species
GACGAACGCUGGCGGCGUGCUUAACACAUGCAAGUCGAACGGAAAGGCCCUGCUUUUGUGGGGUGCUCGAGUGGCGAACGGGUGAGUAACACGUGAGUAACCUGCCCUUGACUUUGGGAUAACUUCAGGAAACUGGGGCUCAUACCGGAUAGGAGCUCCUGCUGCAUGGUGGGGGUUGGAAAGUUUCGGCGGUUGGGGAUGGACUCGCGGCUUAUCAGCUUGUUGGUGGGGUAGUGGCUUACCAAGGCUUUGACGGGUAGCCGGCCUGAGAGGGUGACCGGCCACAUUGGGACUGAGAUACGGCCCAGCCUCCUACGGGAGGCAGCAGUGGGGAAUAUUGCACAAUGGGCGGAAGCCUGAUGCAGAAAGGCCGCGUGCGGGAUGACGGCCUUCGGGUGGUAAACCGCUUUCGCCUGUGACGAAGCGUGAGUGACGGUAAUGGGUAAAGAAGCACCGGCUAACUACGUG